GAUGAACGCUGGCGGUAUGCUUAACACAUGCAAGUCGAACGGACUCUUCGGAGUUAGUGGCGGACGGGUGAGUCACGCGUGAGAAUCUGGCUUUGGGUUCGGGACACCCACUGGAAACGGUGGCUAAUACCGGAUGUGCCGAGAGGUAAAAGAGAAAUUGCCUGAAGAUGAGCUCGCGUCUGAUUAGCUAGUUGGUGAGGUAAAGGCUCACCAAGGCAGCGAUCAGUAGGUGGUCUGAGAGGAUGACCAGCCACACUGGGACUGAGACACGGGCCAGACUCCUACGGGGGGCAGCAGUGGAGAAUUUACCGCAAUGGGCGAAAGCUUGACGGAGCAAAACCGCGUGAGGGAAAAGGCUCUGGGGUUGUAAACCUCUUUUCUUAGGGAAGAACAAAAUGACGGUACCUAAGGAAUCAGCACCGGCUAACUCCGUG
rnacentral:rRNA from 1 species